rnacentral:lncRNA from 1 species
UAAAGUUAUUAAAAAUAAAAUAAUCCCAGAAAAAUAAUUAAAAUGGCCUUAUUACAACCCAAAACCAAACAAUAAUAUUAAUAAGAUAAAACUUAUAAAGAAAUAAAUUGGCUACUUAUUGCAAUUAAAAGAAACAGAAACAGUAGUGUGGCCAUCUCCGAGUCCCUCGUAGCUCCAAACCAUCUAAGCUUAGGGAUUACCUG